GUUUAGUGGCGGAUGGGCGAGUAACACGUGAGGAACCUGCCUUUCACAGGGGAAUAACACUGGGAAACCAGUGCUAAUACCGCAUAAUGUAUUAAAGUGGCAUCACAUUAAUACCAAAGAUUUUAUCGGUGAAAGAUGGCCUCGCGCCUGAUUAGCUAGUAGGUGAGGUAACGGCUCACCUAGGUGAUGAUCAGUAGCCGGACUGAGAGGUUGAUCGGCCGCAUUGGGACUGAGACACGGCCCAGACUCC
rnacentral:rRNA from 1 species